AAGGUUUCUUCGAAACCUUGGUCGGACUGCUCAAUAACACGUGAUUACCUUUCCUUGUUUGCAAUAACCCCGGGAAACUGGGGAUAAUACCGGAUACAUCAUGGAGCUGGAAUGCACCUGAUCCGAAGCUCCGGCGUACAAGGAUGGAUCUGCGGCCUAUCAGUAUAAUGGCUGUACGUACCUACUACCCACGAGGGUACGGGUUGUGACAUCACAGCCCGGAGAUGAUUCUGAGACACGAAUCCAAGCCCUAAGGGUGCAGCAGGCGCAAACCUUUACAAUGUGCGAAAGCUGAUAAGGGAACUCCGAGUGCCCAGCAUCUAAUUGCUGCUGUCCUUGUGCCUAAAACGCACAAGAAUAGCAAGGGCCGGGCAAGAACCGGUGCCAGCCGCCGCGGUAACACGGCGGCCCGAGUGGUAGCCGCUAUUAUUGGGUCUAAAGGGUCCGUAGCCGGUUCGGUAAGUCCUCUGGGAAAAUCUGGUUGCUUAACAAAUCAGAACUGCAAGGGGAUACUGUCGAACUUGAGACCGGGAGAGGUAAGAGGUACUUUCAGGGGUAGGAGUGAAAUCUUGUAAUCCCUGGGGGACCAUCUGUGGCGAAGGCGUCUUACCAGAACGGGUCUGACGGUGAGGGACGAAAGCUGGGGGCGCAAACCGGAUUAGAUACCCGGGUAGUCCCAGCCGUAAACGAUGCUCGCUAUGUGUCAGGUACGGUGUGACCGUAUCUGGUGCCGUAGGAAGCCGUGAAGCGAGCCACCUGGGAAGUACGGCCGCAAGGCUGAAACUUAAAGGAAUUGGCGGGGGAGCACUACAACGGAGCCUGCGGUUUAAUUUGGAUUCAACGCCCGAAAGCCGA
rnacentral:rRNA from 1 species